CGCACGGUGGGGGCGCACGGUUACCACAUUCGCCUCACACCUCCAGGGUCCGGGGUUCGAUUCCCCCCCGUGCUG